rnacentral:lncRNA from 1 species
CCAUCUUCUUUGUUCUCGAAGUCUAUUUCGAACAAUCCUCUCAAUUUCUAGAUCAAAAGCAGUAAGAAAGUUUGAAUUUCUUCGAGUCAUAAAAUACCUAAAAUGAAGUUAAGGAAAUAGCAACGAAGAAAAAUAAAUUGUUAGUGAAUACUAAGUAUUAUAUAAGGAAAAUAAAAUUCAAAACACACAAAAACAAAAAUAAACAUAAAAAAAAGCC